GGGGGAAAAUUAAUAAAAUAUAAAUAAUAAAAAAAUUUUUAAUAUUGGGGGGUAUUAAAGUAUUUUUUUAAAAAAAAAUAAAUUAUUUUAUAGUUAAUUAGUAUUGAAAAAGAAAUUUGAAAUAGUUGAAAAUAAAUUAAUAAAAAAGUAAUUUUAAUUUAAUGUAUCUUGUGUAUCAGAGUUUAUUAAAAAAUAUUUUUUAAAAAAAAAAAUCUCGAAUUUAAAAGAGUUAAUUAAUUAUAAAAGUUAAUGUAGAAAAAUUAUUUUAAAUAGUUAAUUUGAAAUGAAAUGUUAAUCGUUUUUAAAUAUAUCUAGUUAUUUUAGAAAAAAAUUUAAUUUAAAAUUUAAAAAAUUUUUUUAUUAAUUAUAUAAUUAAUAAAAAAAUAUUUAAAAUUAAAUAUAUUAUGGGAUAAGCUUUAAUAUAAAAAUUUAUAAUGGAUUAAAAUAAAACAUAAAAAUUUUAAAAUUUAUAUUGUUUAAAAAUUAUAAUUUAUUAUAAAAAAUUUUAUAAAUAAUAAAAUUUAAUAUAAAAUUUAAUUUUAUAUAAAAUAAUAAUUUAAAAUAAAAUAAAAUUAAAAAUAAUGAUAAAAUUAGUAUAUUAAAUUAAAAAUAUAAUUUAAUUAAUUAAAAUUAAAAUUAAAGGAAUUCGGCAAAAUUUUAUAUUCACUUGUUUAUCAAAAACAUGUCUUUUAGAAAUUAAUUUAAAGUCUAAUCUGCCCACUGAUGAAAUAUUAAAGGGCUGCAGUAUAUUGACUGUACAAAGGUAGCAUAAUCAAUAGUCUUUUAAUUGAAGACUUGUAUGAAAGAUUUGAUGAAAUAUAAACUGUCUCUAAUUUAUAAGUAAAAUUUAAUUUUUUAGUUAAAAAGCUAAAAUAAAUUUAAAAGACGAGAAGACCCUAUAGAGUUUUAUAUUACUUUUAUUUAAAGUUGUGUUUAUAAAUAAAAAUUAAAAAUAAAAAUAAUAUUUUAUUGGGGUGAUGAAAAAAUUUAUUUAACUUUUUAUAAUUAAUUACCAUGGAUAAGUGAAUAAUUGAUCCAUUUUUAAUGAUUAAAAGAGAAAAUUACCUUAGGGAUAACAGCGUAAUAUUUUUUUCUAGUACGAAUAGAAAAAAAAGUUUGCGACCUCGAUGUUGGAUUAAGAUAAAAUUUAAAUGCAAAAGUUUAAAAUUUUGAUCUGUUCGAUCAUUAAAAUCUUACAUGAUCUGAGUUCAAACCGGUGUAAGCCAGGUUGGUUUCUAUCUUUAAAAUAUUAGAAUAUUUUAGUACGAAAGGAUCAAAUAUUUUUAAUAAUUAAAAUUUAAUGAAUAUUAUUAAUUUAAUUUUA
rnacentral:rRNA from 1 species